rnacentral:lncRNA from 1 species
CAUCAAUUGUAGUUGCUGGGCGUAUCGGUAGUGCAUUUGCUGCGGAACUGGGCACUAUGCAGGUAUCUGAGCAGACUGACACGUUGAGAGUUCUUGGUGCAAAUCCUGUUGAUUAUUUGGUGACACCAAGAGUUAUUGCCUCUUGCAUAGCGUUACCUUUUCUAACCCUAAUGUGCUUUACAGUUGGUAUGGCAUCCAGCGCCCUUUUGGCUGAUGGUGUUUAUGGAAUUAGCAUAAACAUAAUCUUGGAUUCUGCUCUGAGAGCUCUUAGAUCAUGGGACCUUAUUAGUGCAAUGAUUAAAUCAGGGGUGUUUGGUGCUAUUAUAUCCAUCAUAAGCUGUGGUUGGGGGGUCACCACACUGGGAGGUGCCAAAGGGGUUGGAGAGUCUACUACCUCAGCAGUAGUUUUAUCUCUUGUUGGCAUAUUCAUAGCUGACUUUGUUCUCUCUUAUUGGUUCUUCCAGGGUGCGAUUGCUUCUUGCGUUGCAUUACCAUUUUUAACCCUAAUGUGCUUUACAGUUGGAAUGGCAUCCAGCGCCCUUUUGGCAGAUGGUGUUUAUGGAAUUAGCAUAAACAUAAUCUUAGAUUCUGC